UCCCUCUUCCCUCUUCCCUCUUUCUUUCUUUCUUUUCCCUCUUCUUCUUUCUUUCUUCCAGCCGAAAUAGCCUCCACCUUCCAGCUGCCGAAACAGUCUCCACCUUCCAGUUGAAACCGUUCAGCCUCCACCAGCCAGCCCACCACGACGUGGUCGACUCUGUGUAUCACCUUCGUCGACUCCGUGUUUCUGGUUUGGCAGUAGCGCAAGCGUAUAUGCGGCAAGCAAAGAUUGAACCAAUUUCAAGGAUGCUGGUGCUUCUGGAACUCGAACCAAUUUCAAGGAAAGCUUGUCGUGGCAGGCUCAUAGAGGCCUCGUUCUCUCUCUCGUUAUCACAGCAUAUGGAGACCUGUGGUCGGGUUCAGAGGCUAGUGUUAUUAAGAUAUGGCCUUGGGAAGCUAUUGAAAGAUCUUUGUCUUUAACUGUUGAAGAAAGGCCCAUGGAUGUACUACUUGUAGAGAGGUCCUUCAUUGACCCAAGGGGCCAACUUGCUGCAAAUGGUUUCGUCAACGUCUUUAAUUCCGAUGUCAAGUACCUCUUAUCUGAUGAUUCCAGAGCCAAAGUGUGGACUGCUGGUUAUUUAUCCUUUGCAUUAUGGUAGGUCUUGAGGGGAGUUCUGUUGGGCAGUGGUGGCUGGAUAUGAUUGACAAAACAUUGGAUGAAGGAUCAACAUUUGAACGAGUUGGUUCUAGGCAGUUAGCAGGCUUGCUUAUUGCUGCAUGGGUGAGAACUGAUAUUAGAGCCUAUGUUGGAGAUGUUGAUGCAGCAGCAGUUCUCUGUGGCUUU